rnacentral:rRNA from 1 species
AGAACCAACAGGGAUUGCCUUAGUAACGGCGAGUGAAGCGGCAACAGCUCAAAUUUGAAAUCUGGCGUCUUUGGCGUCCGAGUUGUAAUUUGCAGAGGAUGCUUCGGCGUUGGCGCCGCCCAAAGUUCCUUGGAACGGGACGUCGCAGAGGGUGAGAGCCCCGUGUUCGGGCGGAUGCCUUCGCCGUGUGAAGCUCCUUCGACGAGUCGAGUUGUUUGGGAAUGCAGCUCAAAACGGGAGGUAAAUUUCUUCCAAAGCUAAAUACCGGCCGGAGACCGAUAGUGCACAAGUAGAGUGAUCGAAAGAUGAAAAGCACUUUGGAAAGAGAGUCAAACAGCGCGUGAAAUUGUUAAAAGGGAAGCGCUUGCGGUCAGAACUUGGCCGCCGUUGCUCGGGGAGGUCUUGCGCCUCCCUCGCUCUUCGGCGGCUGGGCCAGCAUCGGUUCGGGCGGCUCGAGAAAGGUCGCGGGAAUGUAGCUCCCUCCGGGGAGUGUUAUAGCCCGCGGCGCAAUAGGGCCCGCCUGGACCGAGGUCUGCGCAUUUGCUCGGAUGCUGGCGUAAUGGCCCCAAGCGGCCCGUCUUGAAACACGGACCAAGGAGUCUAACAUUCGUGCGAGUGUUCGGGUGUCAAACCCGUGCGCGCAAUGAAAGUGAACGUAGGUGGGAACCCCUCGUGGGCGCACCAUCGACCGAUCCUGAUGUCUUCGGAUGGAUUUGAGUAUGAGCACGUAUGUUGGGACCCGAAAGAUGGUGAACUAUGCCUAAGCAGGGCGAAGCCAGAGGAAACUCUGGUGGAGGCUCGCAGCGGUUCUGACGUGCAAAUCGAUCGUCAAAUUUGGGUAUAGGGGCGAAAGACUAAUC